UACUUACAGAUAAAGAAAAAAAGAGGAGUAACAAGGUUUAACAUACAAAAUGUUAUUAAAUAGCUGAAAAUAGCUGGAUACUAAAUAACUAUAAAAUGGGAGCUAGUAAGUGUUUUGCAAAUAGUGAGAUACAUCUAAUCUCAGUUUCAUCCAUUGUCUCGUAUACGAUACGCGAUUCCCAAGGAGGCUUUCGAAAAGACAACGUGUUACAGCAGCGAGACUGGCAAUCAGCCACUAUCUUUUGCCAUUGAAUUUGGCCGGACCGAAAAUAAGUGGUCGGUAUCGAGAUAGGAACAGUGACACAGGUUCGAUCUUCUCUUUCGCGUCUUAAAGACCGGUUUAUUCUCCGGCGAGCACCGGACACAUUUCGCGGGAUCGUUAUUUCAACAACAGUAAUUCGCUGUGUAACAUAUAAAAGGUUUGAGAGAAAAAAUGAUCUUGUAUCAACAUUUUAUUUCAUUUAAUAAUUUAGCUAAUUCUUAAACAACGUUAUUAAUUUGCGUUUCGUAUUAUCGAAUUCGUAUUAAUUGGUUAGGUACAUAGUGAGACAUAAAACAGCGAAUAUAAGUUGAUAGUGUUUGUGUAUGUCACGAACAAUGUCUACACAUAUCGUUCUACUAAUGAACAAUAUUUCUGCGCAUACACCUAAAAGAAACGCAAACAAAUAUUUUCUGAAACCGAUAAAAUGAUGCAUCCUCGUAAUAACCUCAAUGCACAUACUGCAAAAUCAUUUAACGAAAUCUACCAUAAAAGAGUACUAGUCUAGAACGAAGUAUCGAACACGAUGAAGAUAAGAAAUUUCUGUAGAAAAAUUACGAGUAGCAAGAGAAUUAUUACUGCGUUCGAGCAAAACGAGAAGGUAAUCAAUGGAAGUAUAAGAAGCCUGUUUGACGUCACUAUUGUAAACUGUACAUCAUGUGAGAUUAAAAAUAAAUGUAACCCGGAAAAGCAUUCAAUGUCAUAUAACUGCGAUUUUAUAUCUGUUCCAGAUUCCCAGUCAAUUUUCCCGCGUCCAGCAAAUCUCGUACCAAAACAAUGCGGACACGCUCGUUCCUGAUCUCCGGCUUUGCUCUAAAUCGAAACGCUCUGAUCAUGAUAAAAAUACACUUUGCGAGUGUGACAUACUUAGACGCGGGGAAAAAUCGAUGUCGACCUAUGUUGAGUGUCAAUGAUUAACGACUCGCUUAGCAGAAAUUGCUAGCAGCUAAGUAAAACGAGACGCUUGUCGAUAUUCUGAUUAAUUAGCUCUUGCCUCCUACCGGAACAAUCGGAUCGUAAUUCGAUAGCUCGCUGUUUCGCAACGUGCAUUUCUGAAUUUUGACCGACGUUCUUAUACAGGACAUCGCUGUAUGUAUUAUAAUUUCCACUCUUCCGUUAAACGAUUGGUAUCAAUUAUCGGAGGUCAGGGUACGCGAGUAUCUCGACGAGUGGCAUGAAAAAACUACACUAGUUGCUAACAGUCUUUAAAAUGCUUCCUUUAAAAUAGCUUUCAGAAAAAAAAAACGAGGAUAACACGUACGCUAUGAAAAAGUAGUACUCUGACAGUGCAACUGCUUGCGGAAUGCAACUUUAAAUAACAAGAAAAGUAUUAUUGAUAAUUUGUGGAGGCUUAACGUAGGGAUUUGAUUAACUCUAGAUCUGUUGUUCAGAUUUCUGACGGAUACUUCAUGAUAUACUUCAUAUUAUGGUAAUUUGAAGUAGUCAGUAAAGAUGGAAUGAGCCUGGAAUUAGUAUGCAUAUAUGUACACAUAUGUACUAGGUACAUAUGUAUUACGCUACGUUAACUAAUCGUGACUCGGGAUAUUAUGCGAUCAGUUAUCAGGGGAGCCAUAAAUCUAGCAAAUCUCAAGAUGUGAGAGGCACAGAUACUCGAUACAUUUAUUUAUUUUACACGCAGAACAUUAAAAGGCAUCGCAUCAUAAGAUCAGGAUUAAGAACUGAUAGAGAUAACAAAAUAACCACUUGACGAAGCAGACUUUUAAUCAGUCGAUGUGGCACUACCGUAAUUAGAUUUAUUUGAACGAGGUUCCUUGUAUCGAUCUAGCUUUAUUUAUUACAUUGACCACUUUUUGUUGAAAAAUUGUAACGAUGAAUCCGAAUCCUGGGAAGCCUCAUUUUUGCACGAAAGAGAUUCUGAAUCUGUUCUUCGUUAAAAUCUUUUGCGUUUGUCAAAGAAAAACGCUUAGCUGGGAUAUGAGAUAGCGACCUAAAUUCAAUAAACUUAAUAGGGCGAUAAACAUACCUGUUAUCAGAUUCGAUUGUUGGUGCUUACGUCUAAGUACGCAGCUUGUGUUUCCGCCAGGCACGAUAAUUAUCAUCCAGUUGUUUAGAUCUGAAAGAAUCGAAGAGAAGCCUAUCUUCGUGAGUACAGGAGCGGAAAGGAACUAAAAGAGGAUAAGGACUAGAACGAUCAACACUAAGGAAUCAUUGACGCUAUUCGAACUCGAGAGUCUUUCAAUGAUUCCUUCUUCUCUAUUCAACCACAAGAGUCCAAGCGAAAUACACUGUUAUGGGAUAACGAUGGAAUAUUUUUCAUCGAAGGAAGAAAGACAAAGAUGGCAGAAAUAAAACGAUCAAACUUCGGUCUUGUCAGAUGUUUCGAAAUGGUAGACAGGAACUUUGACUAACGACGGCGGAGUUCGACGAUAGCCUUGGAGUACCGUGAUCUCGCUGGCUGGUUCUGAUUUUCAGACGGAAAUUUGCGUCAAUGACGUACAAUGAAGAUUUAAUAGUUUGGCAAAAAGCCCGACGCAACGUUUAUCUCUUCGGAUGUUACGGAACCUUUGACGUUGUGUCUCGUCUCUUCGCUUUUUUUUUUUCUUCUUUCUUUUUUAUUCAUUCAACGGUGCCGUGAGGCAACGUUUCAUAAAACUCAUCUUCACUGAUUCUUUCCUCCGGUGCGAAUAAGCAGAUCCAUAAAUUCUGGACGAGUUACAAUAACGGGAGAAAAAAGAAGAAGAAAACGAGAGGCGCGUCUUUCUCCUCGGAACACGAAAGCAUUUGGACGCAUAUAUAACAAGUUUUCAUGUAUAUGUGCGUUGUAUACAACAUUUCGAAGCUUCAUUGACGUUGUAACGAAUCACCAACGUUAUCAUAUUAUUUAUAAUUAUGCUAUCAUGUCUGCAAAAUUUGAAAUCAAUUUACAAGCAUAGACAUUCUAACGCAUUCGCCGCGAGCAUUAGCUUGGCGAGAAAUUAAUGCACGGCAUGAAUAGUUGUCUCGAAUACGCAAUAAGUGCCGAAGACGUUACCACUGAAUAUUCAAGUUUCUUGAUAUAACUGAUAAUUCAUUGUUCACGUACUUUUGCCAUCUCUGUGAAAUAUAUCUUUGCACUGAUGACGAGUGUAUCUUGUGGCCUCUAUACAUACACAUUUAUUUCAGAUUUGGUUCAUCAAAGCAACAUGAUCACGAUAUUCUCGUUGCAGGUAGACCAGUAUAUUCGCAAAAGUUUCUACAAGCGUUCAAAUACUUUCGUGAGAAACUGUACGACAUUUGUAUGGAUUCUACUCUUGUCUCUACCAUCGAAAAGUACACAAGUAAAAAAUCCAGAAAAAAAGGUCACAAUAGCCGAUGUUAACUGUCUCAAGCAGCGUUUAUUUCGUUUCUUAUUAAUCAAGUCAGAGCAGUUCUUUAAAAAAUCAGUUUCUCGUUCUCGUGACUCUUGGCGAGAACGCGUUACAAGUACGCUUGUGUAUCGGAGGUUUCCAGGGGUUUCCCGACAAAUGUGGCGACAAGACAUUUUAUAAUAACUAUCCCACGUGUUUAUCACCGCGUCUACACCAUUUACACGUCUAAUCAUCGUAAACGCUCGAAUCGUACCAUUCGUGUAUAUUCUAUAUGCAUAAGUUGCGUUCCCCUGACGAGAGGAUGUACAACGACGCGUUGGUUCCAUCCCCUGUUCGUUCGUACUCGAGGAACAGGCGAGCGCGAAGAAAAGGGGUCAAAAAUCAAAAACAAAAAUAAAAAACAAAAAAAAAGAAGAUGCUGGACGCAACAAACGAACAUGAUUCUCCGCAUUUCGUUUACUAAUUUAACGUAUUUUUAUCUACACGUACGUGUACGCGCGCGCAUCAAAUGCGUAUCUAUUAUAACGUCGUAUGCGCGCGUGUCAGAGAUCAAAGGUUUUGCAUUGCCGCUUAAGAAAUCACGUUUUACCCUACGAAACUUAACGUUCUUAAUCGCGCGUAGGCUGCGGAUUAUUAUGCGUUUAUUUUCUAUACGAAGGUGAACUUUGAAGGUGAAAUCCGAACGUACCGAAGGAUGCGUAGAAUGCAUACAAAGCACGAAACCGUCUGCAAAGUCUGCAAAGCGGAAUACCAGCUAUAAUAUUUAACGAGUGAAACGAAUUGCUACUUAGAUUCCAUUUCUUCGGGUGUAUUCGUAAAUACGUGAAAUUGUAUAAGAAUCCGCAGUCUAAUCUAUCUGUGGUAGAGCGAAGCACAGGGUGGAGAGAACAAAUUAACGAACAAAAGACGGUUAAUACGCAUACUCUCUCGAGACAGGACUUAUCAGAAGCGUGCAGUAGCUCGAUGGGGAUGGUUAUUAUUAAGCUGCCGCUGCAACUAAUCCACGAAAUGAGAACGACGAUCCGUUCAUGGAAAAAAAAAAAAAAGAAAAAAGAAAAAACAAAAAACAAAGAAAGUAGAAGAUCGCAAUGACGAUAAGUAAAGGGUGUAAUAUCGUAGAGGUACUAAAGUCAGUCACUUUUCGUUUUAAGAUCGUCCGCCAUUCAAUGAGGGACGAUUCGUUUCUUAUUUUCACCUUUUUUUAUCUUUUUUUUUUUUAUCUUUCUUUAUAUAUGUAUAUAUAUACAAAUCGAGGUACACAAUCAAAUACAAGACGAUCAUAGAUAUCGUUAGAGGUCGAUUCAAUUAAAAUUAAGUGUAAACGCAAUGAUGAAAACGCACGAAUCGAGGGAUUUGUUUUGUUGUAUGGUACAAUUGAUGCGCGAACGAUGACAGGCUAAAAUAUCUUUACGCGUGAAAGACGUUAUUAUUCUCCUUUCUUUCUCUCCUCAUGCGCACACACUCAUAAUACACGCACAUACUCGCAUACUCUCUCUCAUUCAUUACUUUUUCCAUAAUUCUUUCUCUCCGUUGCAGCGGCACAUGAUCGAACGAAAUAAUCUCGCUCGCUCUCGCUCGCGCGUUUAACGGCGAGCGUUCUGCGACUAAAAAAUAUAGAAAAGGCCUUAAAGCGGGUAGUAAGUUGACUAAAAACGAACGAUAAUACAAAAUACAUAUUAUCGUGGAACGAAUGGUACCACUUUCAGAAAACGAUCCGCGGAUACAAGGAUAAAAGAGUUGCGUGCAGAAACGUACGCGUGCGAAAAACAACAUCGUUAAAUCGAGGGAGGAUAUUUAUGCAUAUGCGUGUGUAUGUAAUAUAUAUAUACGCGCAUAUAUAUAUCUAUAUAUGUAUAUAUAUAUAACAUAUAUAUUUUGUACAGAGUAUUUUUCAUUUUCAUCGUACAAACGUCUUCUAAAGUGUCUUUUACGAUGACUCUACGAAAUUCUAUCGGCAGCAUACUUAUUUUCGCUCGUUGCUCUACUAUUCUCUCAUACUUUUCUUCUAUUUCUUCUUUAUUUCUUCAGACACAGAAAUCUUGUUUGUACGACUAUCGAUCUUACCUUCGCGCGUACUGUGCGUUUUAUCGAGCCGAUCGACACGAUCGUUUUGCGCAUUCGUCGAUCCUGUGUACAACGAGUUUUUUCAUAGAAAAUAAAAAAAUUAAAAAACAGAAAGAGAGAGAGAGAGAGAGGGGAUACAGAGCAAAGAAGUAAGAUAAGUGUCCGAUAUCGAUUUGAUCGACGCGCAUGCAGAGAUUAAAAAUCAGUUGCGUGUUGUUAAAAUUCUACGGUUCCAGUCGCUAUCGUAUAUCUCAUAUGAAAACGGUUUGUUUACGAGGCCGGAAAGCUUUUUCGCAAACGGAUUAGUUCGACCGCGGCAAACACGCGGCGAUACGGUCCGUUGGGAAAGCCGCCAGGAUUCUCGUUUCUCUCUUUCUCUCUCUCUCUCUUUCUUUCUUUUUUCUUUUCUCCUCCGCCUCUUUCUCUCCUUCUUUCCUUUCUCAUUUUUAUUUUCACGACGGAUCUUCAAGUCGCGUUCGACCGAUCCGUGAAAAUCAAUCGAUCUGCGCGAUGCUUGUUCGGCCAAUAAAACACACAGUGGCGGCGAGAGGCAGUGUUUCACAGCGAAUAAAAAUGCACGCUUCGUUGGACAUGAAAUAAAAGUCGUGAUACGCUACGGCGCACGAUCAAUUGGUCGUUCCCUCCGGAAGAGAGACGCGAGUUAAAAUAAAUAUACAUCGGAACACAUCGUUCUCGUCGCUAGGUAAAAAAGAAAAAAAAAGAAAAUAAAAAAAAGAAGAUAAGGACAAAUAAAAAAGAAGACACAAAGGAAUAGAAUAUCAGCGGAACUAUCUACGAUCUACCGGACUUUUUCGUUUUUUUUUCUUUCUUUCCUUUCGCUUAUUUCCUGCUACUCCUUCCUUCCUCCUUUCCUUCUCUUCUUUCACGCUUUCGUUUCUCGUCUUCGUGCAACUUCGAUUCGAUUAACGUUAGUCUCCCGUUCCACUCGUUCCUUACCUAGUAUUACAGCUUAUAAUCGAUUACCACUAUUCGCUUAACGAUUACUUUAUUACUUCUUGUAGCUCGAGCCCUUUGUAAACGCUGUUGGGCGUGUUGCGUCAAGGUUCGUCGCUAAACAACACGAAUUUUCACCUGACGAGCGUGGUUUCGCCGCUACGAUCGAUUCGUUUCAUACGAAUCACGGAAUCGGCAUUGCGCUCGAACACGACAACGACGACGACGACGAUGACGACGACGAUGAACGAUGACGUUCGCGUUGGAGAUGUUCGAUUAUAGCGGCGGGAACGCGCGUUAGAAGCGGAGUAAAACGGAUCGAGAUUCCAAUCGUGUUUCACUUUUCGAACGAUGACGACUGGCCAAGCGAAAGGGAGAAAGAGAGGAAAAAGAGAGGAAAAAGAGAGGAAAAAGAGAGGAGGCAGCACGGAGAUUCACCGGAAUGGCGAGAUCGGAAAGAGGUAAGGUCACGGAACGAGGCAGCCGGCGUUCAACGAACUUGAAGCCACCACGCCGCGCUGAUCAAUUCGAUAAAUCCACGUCCCCGGAGAUUAAUUCGCCAAUCCCCUAAUUACCGCGCGCGUAAACGUUUAUAACAUACGAAUGUACGCAGAUAUGUACGUAUUAAUUAACAAACUAACUGCCAUGAUUUUUGCUCGACGACGAAAUGAAUUUUGCACAAAUAUCGAAGUAUCGGUGCGUGACCACCGACUUGAGACAUUCUUACGCGUUAAUAUAUAAAUUAUUAAAUUAUUAUACGUAUAUUAAAACGUAUACGUAUUUUGAUCGAAUUUACCGAAUUAAAAUUGAUAGAAUUAUAUACAAAUUUUAGAAAGAAAUACUAUGGCAGUAUCUAAUUAGAAAUCACAGAAAAAGAAACACGAUAAGUAUGUGACACGAUAAGUUGAUUGGAAAGGAAUAUUUUAGUAUAAAAUUUAACGAAAAGAAUCUGUCACGUUCAGCCAAAAGUAUAAUUGUCGAAACAAACGAUAUUUCAAUAUCCUCGAUGUUCUUUCGAUAUUUCGACGUUACGUCAAGAAAUAAUCUUCGAUGGAAGAAUACGUUAAGGUGGGAAACGUGACUUAUCGUGUUCUUCGCUUCUAUUUUUCAAUUAUAAUAAUCUUGGCAAGAUUUCUUAUCGUGCGUUUCCUCCCUUCUUUCCCUUUUCCCCUCUAUAGUUUAUGGUUUUCUUUCACGUUCUUACAGGCCCUUUUGUUAAAAUCGGAAAAUCGAACGGUACAAUGUAUAAGCAUCGGUUUAUUUUUCCUCGAUGAAACUUUGUUUCAUCCUCUAUUCGAUAACGUUCUCGAUUAACGAUUCACGAGAUAUUCGCCUUCGUUUUUGAAUAAUUCAGAGACAAACGCUCAGACAGACUAGAGAUCAAUAAUUUUCGAUUUGUACAGAGAUUGGCGACCGAUAACGUUCGUGUCGUUGUUUCGACCGUGUUUUCUCUAUCGAACGACUUUCUUCCAAUAUGAAUAUUAAAAUAUACCGUUGUACAACACACUGUCCUAUGUAUUAUACAUUGUAUGUACAUAUUAUCCACCAUGCAUCGAGGUUGUACCAUAAUAUGCUAAUUACAUACGCGUCGCGACGCAGACGCAUAAUAAAAGCACUUAACACGGUGUUACUAACCUAUUCGGUUGAACAACACCUUUUCGACGUUCUUUCGACCCUGCUACAUUCUUCGGACUCGAUGUUUCUGAAUUUCUGCUUCUCCGCUAUCGUUGAGAGAUUUCUUAAAUUUCACCAAGGAUCAUCGUCCAUAUGCCGGAUUUCUCGUUUCAAUUCGAUACCAGAGUUCCCCUCAAACUUGCCAAAGCUUUUUCUGCUUGUUGAAACGGGACUGACAUCAGAACGUAAACGCUCGAAGACUGUAGCAGAGUCAAACGGAUACAACGAUUCGAGUAAACCGGGGUAAACAAGGUUCUUCGUUCUUCAACGAUCGAUUGCUUUCCUUUUCGAUCUCGCCGUUUCGAUUUUCCAUACGAAGAGAAAGUCUUCUCCUCGAUUUAUGUUUCCAAACUUUCUCUAUCUUCGUCGUCUACUCCGCUUCGCUGCGAUUCGCCAAAGUACGUUUCUCGCAAAGUGUAUCCUAC